AAUGUUAUCUACUGGAAAGAUAAUGUCGGCCGACGAAGAAGAUUUAGUAUCAGAGUGGACUGAUCAUGUUAAUGAUGCCCAGUUUAAAAUGCAAAGAAGCUAACCAACAUAAAAAUGCUAGAUUCUCCGAGAAAAUGUGGGAACGACACCUUGACUUCUGCACCAACUGAUCGGUAGAUAUAAGUGAUAAUCAAGAUAACGAUAUAAACACGAAGACUGCUCAAGCAAUUAGCAAUUACAGAAGGUUGAAGAUAGCUUGGUGUAAGGUGGGGAAGUUCUGGAAGAUUAAACAAUGGAAAAAAGAACGCUGAAAAAAUAUUUCCGACGAACGCUGCAUCAAAAUAGGACAGGAUAGACGGGUGUAUCAGCGUACGUUUGGAAGAUGAAAGAUGAAGGAUAUUGCCGACCGGACCUGUAUCGGAGCAACAAGAAACCAAAGAUGCAAGUGAUGAUAUAAUAGGGUUGCAUCUCUUGGUUCGGUGUGGAAACAAUAAGCAUGAUUGAUGGGACCCUUAAUUCAGGAGGAUAUUUUCAAAUACUUAAAGAUAAGCUGAUACUGUUUCACAAUUUCGGUAUAUUUGAAUAUGCUGAAAAGCUUUUACAGACCGAGCUUAAAGAGAAGAAAUGUUGAUCCGUCAAAGAUCUUUUUUUGGCAGUGCAUUGCACCCCAGAUGUUUUAGAAUUUUUAGAGAAAAUUUUUGGCUAGAGAUCAUAUCCCGACGAUGUGAGUUUGCUUGACCCAUUAGAUGUUUAUAAGACGUAUGAAGGUUUUACCCCAGUGGAAACUUUUGGCCGAUUUUAAAGUUACAUAUCCACAAGCAAGUUCAUACUCUACAAAAUGAAGAAGAUUUUUUAAAUUGGAAGUGAAUUGUUGUUUUUUCACCCUAUUGUCAUUGAAGGGGCACCGCAGAAAACAUUAUUAUUUUUAAAAUCAUUAAAUAAAAUUACCACUAUCAUAAUAAUCAACUUGCAGUUUAUUA